UACAGGGGGGGGCAAGCGUUGUUCGGAAUUACUGGGCGUAAAGGGCUUGUAGGUGGCCAACUAAGUCACACGUGAAAUCCCCAGGCUUAACCUGGGAACUGCGUGUGAUACUGGAUGGCUUGAAUCCGGGAGAGGGAUGCGGAAUUCCAGGUGUAGCGGUGAAAUGCGUAGAUAUCUGGAGGAACACCGGUGGCGAAGGCGGCAUCCUGGACCGGUAUUGACACUGAAAAGCGAAAGCCAGGGGAGCAAACGGG
rnacentral:rRNA from 1 species